AUAACGUUAUGAUGUCUUAUAGUUUACGGUUAUUUUCUUCCAUCUGUAGCUUGUCGUUCAGUUUAUUUUUGGUGUCUUUUGUCUCACAAAGUUUUUACCUUUUGUGAAGUCAGAUCUACCAAUGUUUUCCUUUACGGCUUCUGGAUUUUGUGUAUGGAUUGAGAAAGAUUUUAAACCCAGUUUUUAGGGCAUACGGAGGACUGAAAUUGCAAUGUGCUAUAAGGAAAUGGCAGUUUCCUAAAAACGUCAAGCUCAUCUCCUCCCAAAUGAGCCGCAGGAAGAGACUCUCCCUGUGCUUGCUCUUCCCAGAGGCACUCCCGCUGCUCUGUGACUGUCCCAGGUUGUCUGCCUCCUUUUUAACAGUGAGCAUGGUGGGGGCGGGAUGAAAACUUUGUUCACUACUAAGGAAGAGUAAUGGACAGUAAACACAGAGAACACAGGACUUUGAAACAGGCUGGCCUAUCAGCGUGUAAGGCUUUGGUUCUGUAACUAGCUUGAUCUGCGGGACUUAGGAGCUCCACCCCACUUCGUGUGAAUUUUGUCCGUUUCUUUUCUCUGUCUCCUCAUUCGCAGCCCAUUUCUAAGUGGUUGGUAUCAACUUAACAUCCAGUACCCAGCACUACCUACCUAGCUGUCCUGACACUUCAUAGUCCAAACUGAGGGAAGAGGGCUCCCUCUGUGGUCUACCUGAGACCUACCUGCUCUGUUCUUGUUUUUAACCUGAGGGAUCUACCUCUUCCCCAGGAAUUAAUCCACCCAUCAGAUACAACCUUACCCUCUCCACCCACAAUUAGGGCUGUAAAAGGACCAUUUUUUGUCUUUCCAUGUGGCACUUGCAAUUACUUGUUUAAUGAUAAUAAUUACUAUUAUGUAUAGGGCUCACUAUGUGCUAGGCAAUGUGCUUUUUAGAAAUUAUCUCACUUUUCAAAACAGCCUUUUACUAAUGGUAAUAUUACUAUGUCUAUUUUCCAGAUGAUGUAAUAGGUACUUAAUAGGUACUCAGAUAUAUGAUAAUGGAAUGAAUGAAUGGAUGGAUGGAUGAAAACGAUGAACUCUGAAUGGUCUGGGCUUCACCAAAACACAUAACACCUUUUCCGAUCUUGCUUCACAUUGCAGAACAACUCAGGCUGGCAUUGUAGCAAGAUGCUUCUGCCCCACAUAAGCCAAGAUUUAAUAACAGAAUGAGAGAAUAAACUCUCAAUCCAAAGGUGUCAUUAUUUUUGUAAACUCCACUACUGUAAAGGAUACCAGGUUUAAUGGUUUAUAAAAUAGAGUUUCACCCUAAGUUUCAUUCACGGUUUUGGUAAUAACUCCCAGCGUGAAUGAGAAAAUUGCUGUACCCCUCUGUGAGUCAGUUUCCACAUACACAAAACAGAAAUAAUGAAGCUUGGUUGUCAUUAAGGCUCCUUAAGAUCUCCAGAUGAAAGAUACCGGAUGCGUCCAAGACAAUUAUUCACCAGUAUACUAUGAAAAAUUCUCAGAGGAGAAGGAGUUGGUCACAGCUCAACAGUGUACUUGGAAGUAAGUGGGUCCUUCCAGUUGUGGCAUGUGGGAUGCUGCCUCAGCAUGGCCUGAUGAGCAGUGCCAUGUCCACGCCCAGGAUCCAAACCGGCAAAACCCUGGGCUGCCAAAGCGGAGCGCUUGAACUUCACCACUCGGCCAUGGGACUGGCCCUCCUCCUUUGGUGCUUUUAACAUCCAAAAAAAUGGGUCUGUUAUGUGUCCAGAGCACAUUAGUGACUUACCGUCUUUUACCAUUCACCAUGUGAAGAGUAAUUUCCUACUGUUCCACUUUCCAAACACUUUGGUCCAGCAAACUAGAAACUGUAUGGGAUGCAUUGUUCACAGAGGAAAACAUGCCAUCCCCGCCUCUGAGCUCUGUUGGUACCAUUCCACCUCCCCUCUCCUCUCCCUCCCAGUCCUCCCCAUCCCACCCAUCCUGGAAGGUAGUCUCCUUCCAAUCCAGUUUCCUAUGUCCUGCUUUCUUUCCAAAUUCACUUGAACAUUGUACUGGUUCUCUGGUAGAUACGAAAAGGAACUGAGUUUGCGAAAGGAUACGAAAGAUACGAAAAGGAACUACACAGAGUUUGCAAUCAAGAAUUGAUGAUUGAAUAAGUACUCAGUGUUAGUUUACUGAUCAAAUAAUCGAAUGAAUAUAUACAUGAAAAAACACAAAGAAUUGUAAUUCAAGAAAGAAAAAAAGAGGAAGGAAAUAUAUUGUGACAAACACCAGAAGCUGAAUGCCAGUGACCAGUCUUCACAUCUUUCCAUUUCUUGUUGAGAUUCUCACUGACAGUGUUUAAACAGGGCUGGGCUGUUUACACACAAUCGUUGUUCGCAGUGGCCCAGCAGAACCUGUAAGGGACAUAUAUCACACAUCACCCCAAUGCAGAGGAGGUGUGAGCCACAAGUCUGAAGGACAAGGGCAAACCCUGCUUUCAUCUGCUCCACCGCAACCCUCAAAGAAGUGCUGAGACUUCACAGCCAGAGUGGAGAGCUGAGAGCUAGGAGGAGCUCAGCAGAGUGGAGAUGCUCUGGAAGCUGGACACCGGCAUCGUAACUUUCUGUUGUCGGAAGUGGUGCGAAUUCCCAGAGCAUUGGAGGUGUCAGCCCUCAAAAAUACUCUACACUCUCAUUCCAAGACAACAUGAAAUUGACUUAGGGAUGAGUACAGCAACGCUCCCUCCCAAUGCCUCAAAGAAUAAGAGCCUGCUCUAAAGGCUUACUCUCUGGUAGCAUCCUUUAGUGCAAUUCACAGUGGUCCUUAGUGGAACUCUUUAUUCAUCAAAAAAAAAAAACAGGUUGAAUGCCUACCAUGCAUCACAGUCUGGGAAACUCGGAGAUAGGGAGGAAAGGUCAUUUGACUUCAUGAUUUGGGGAGGAAAAUGAUAUGUAUACGCAAGACCUGGCAAGGAGUAAGUGCUCAGCUUAUUUAAUGCCUGAAAGAAGGGUUGAAUGAAUGAAUGAACAUAAGGUCAUAAAUGCAAGCAAGCCCCACGGUACAGAAAAGAGCCCAGAAUUUGGAGUGUAAAGGUAAAGUUGACAUCCCAGCUAGCCCACUUUCCAGCUGGGUAUUAGGCUGGAUACUUCUGCUUGUUCCAAAUUCAUUGUCCACCCUGCUUUGUGCCCCAAGGGCUGACCUCCAUGGACUGCCUCCCCUGGGCUCCCUUGCUGCCUGUUUUCUGGCUGGGCUCCCUUGCCAUCUGUCUUCUGGCUGGGCUCAGCCAAAGGGAGUCCCUGGAAAGAGAUUGGGAGAGAGCAGUGUUUCUUCCCCUCUGCCCUGGCUUGUCUUCUAGCAGCAGCUGUGCACCCAACAUCUACAGCUCCCCACUUACUUCAUUCCAUUCUCCCUGGGCUGCAGGAACAUGGCGUCCUCCCCUUGCCCUUGUGGUCUUAGCUUCUCCUAUUGCUGAUGUCUGGGUGCCUCAAUAUGCUUUGUUUUCCUUUAAUCCUGUCUACACCU
ensembl:lncRNA